rnacentral:rRNA from 1 species
GACGAACGCUGGCGGCGCGCCUAAUACAUGCAAGUUGAGCGCUGAAGGUUGGUACUUGUACCAACUGGAUGAGCAGCGAACGGGUGAGUAACGCGUGGGGAAUCUGCCUUUGAGCGGGGGACAACAUUUGGAAACGAAUGCUAAUACCGCAUAAAAACUUUAAACACAAGUUUUAAGUUUGAAAGAUGCAAUUGCAUCACUCAAAGAUGAUCCCGCGUUGUAUUAGCUAGUUGGUGAGGUAAAGGCUCACCAAGGCGAUGAUACAUAGCCGACCUGAGAGGGUGAUCGGCCACAUUGGGACUGAGACACGGCCCAAACUCCUACGGGAGGCAGCAGUAGGGAAUCUUCGGCAAUAGACGAAAGUCUGACCGAGCAACGCCGCGUGAGUGAAGAAGGUUUUCGGAUCGUAAAACUCUGUUGGUAGAGAAGAACGUUGGUGAGAGUGGAAAGCUCAUCAAGUGACGGUAACUACCCAGAAAGGGACGGCUAACUACGUG